AGCACACACGACUGUACGUCGCUUUGGAUAAAAGUUCUGCUAAAUGGCAUUAU
rfam:Salmo salar isolate Sally breed double haploid chromosome ssa20, whole genome shotgun sequence.